UCGCCUUCCUCCUCUCACAGAUCCAAAAGACUCGAUCGUAAAUAUUUCUUAGCUCCCUAAUUUCAUUUCCCGAUCACCGGACGUGACAUUUCUCCACCCUAAUUUCCUCCUACUACGGCGGAACGCGGCGGUCGGUGGAUGGCAAGAACCAAUAAAUAUACCUCCCUUAACUUCAACGACAUCUACGAAAAGAAAACCACUAGCAGCAGCUCCGCCGCCUCCGGCAGACCGCACUCUUCUUCAUCAUCUUCUUUUAAUGGUCCCAAUAAGACUAUUAUCUCUAACUCUCGUAUUCAUGGACACAUGCUUGUCCUGAGCCGGCCCACUCCCAAGCCCAUCUCCAUUCCGCAACCCCAGCCUCAGCCUC
rnacentral:lncRNA from 1 species